GCUCAACCGGGGAGGGUCAUUGGAAACUGGGAAACUUGAGUGCAGAAGAGGAGAGUGGAAUUCCACGUGUAGCGGUGAAAUGCGUAGAGAUGUGGAGGAACACCAGUGGCGAAGGCGACUCUCUGGUCUGUAACUGACGCUGAGGAGCGGAAGCGUGGGGAGCGAACAGGAUUAGAUACCCUGGUAGUCCACGCCGUAAACGAUGAGUGCUAAGUGUUAGGGGGUUUCCGCCCCUUAGUGCUGCAGCUAACGCAUUAAGCACUCCGCCUGGGGAGUACGGUCGCAAGACUGAAACUCAAAGGAAUUGACGGGGGCCCGCACAAGCGGUGGAGCAUGUGGUUUAAUUCGAAGCAACGCGAAGAACCUUACCAGGUCUUGACAUCCUCUGACAACCCUAGAGAUAGGGCUUUCCCUUCGGGGACAGAGUGACAGGUGGUGCAUGGUUGUCGUCAGCUCGUGUCGUGAGAUGUUGGGUUAAGUCCCGCAACGAGCGCAACCCUUGAUCUUAGUUGCCAGCAUUUAGUUGGGCACUCUAAGGUGACUGCCGGUGACAAACCGGAGGAAGGUGGGGAUGACGUCAAAUCAUCAUGCCCCUUAUGACCUGGGCUACACACGUGCUACAAUGGACAGAACAAAG
rnacentral:rRNA from 1 species